GUUGGCUGUUGUUAUAUAUGUCAGUUGAAAAGAAAUUUAUUUUAACAGUGAAACCAGUAGAGUUUUUUUUUUUUGGUCUAGUAUGGUUCAGACUGGUCGAGUAUUUUCAGACCUUUGGUUAAGUAUGGUUUAGACUGGAAAAUAGGUCGAGUACAUGUCGAGAAUUGGUUAAGACUGUUUCAGACUGGUCGAGUAAUAGUUUAGACUAUUUUCAACGGCAAAGAUAAGGGUCAAGUACGAUUCAGUACAGUCAAGUAUGGUCCAGACUGGGGUCGAGUAAUGUCAAGUAAAAGUCAGACCAAUUCAGACUGGUCGAGUAAAAAUCAGUACAGUCGAGUACAGAUAUAGGCCAUUUCAGACUUUAAUGGUUUGUAGUGCUAGUUUGUGAUAUCGAAAACCCUGGUGUUAUAAUUUUUCAGUAAUACAUAAAUUUCUCUCGCUAAAAUCUAAUACGUUGUUACAUACACGAGCGAAUUGUACAAGUUGAGAUAUAUAAACACCAUAAGAUGGUGACAAGGGAACGUCACCAUCUAAAAAUGGAUAAUUAACAAUAGGAAAUGAAAAA
rnacentral:lncRNA from 1 species